CCGAAGCUUCUUUGAUCCCACCUCUCAGCAUAGAGACUGGUGCCCUUGGGUGAAUAUCACACUUGGCAAAGAAAGCAGGGAGAAUGGUGGAACUGAACCAGAUGCCAGCGCCCCAGCAGAGCCAGGCUGGAAAGCAGUGCUGACCAUCCUCUUGGCGCACAAACAGUCUAGCCAGCCAGCUGAAACGGACUCCAUGAGUCUCUCUGAGAAAUCAAGGAAAGUAUUCCGAAUAUUUCGGCAGUGGGAAUCUCUGUGCUCAUGCUGAAGAUACUCCAGCGCCUUCCUGGAGAUAGCUGGAAUGAGAGUGACUUUUUGAAAAAUUAAGGCUGAGUUCCUUUCGGUCAGCUGACACUAAGUUUUUCCUGUUCUGGGUUAAUCAUAAGGAGCCCCCUGCCAUAGCAAAGGCAGUGAGUGUCAACUAUCUGCAUCUGGCUGAGAGAGACCCGUUUCCUUUCAGGGAUGUGGACAGGGUAAGGGCAGCAAGCAUGGUUCUGUUAAAGGAGUGUGGGAUUAACAGACUAGAAGGAAGACUAAGGACCUGACCACCCAUUUCAGCAUCUUCAAUGUGGAGCAGUGUUCUGAGGACUCUUCUAUCCUAGGACUAUGACAGUGUGUAUUAAUAAAAUAUUUGCUAAG
rnacentral:lncRNA from 1 species